GCAUAUCAAUAAGCGGAGGAAAAAGAAACCAACAGGGAUUGCCCCCAGUAACGGCGAGUGAAGCGGCAACAGCUCAAAUUUGAAAUCUGGCCUCACGGCCCGAGUUGUAAUUUGCAGAGGAUGCUUUUGGCGCGGCGCCUUCCGAGUGCCCUGGAACGGGACGCCAUAGAGGGUGAGAGCCCCGUCUGGUUGGAUGCCUAGCCUCUGUAAAGCUCCUUCGACGAGUCGAGUAGUUUGGGAAUGCUGCUCAAAAUGGGAGGUAUAUGUCUUCUAAAGCUAAAUAUUGGCCAGAGACCGAUAGCGCACAAGUAGAGUGAUCGAAAGAUGAAAAGCACUUUGAAAAGAGGGUUAAAUAGUACGUGAAAUUGUUGAAAGGGAAGCGCUUGUGACCAGACUUGGGCUUGGUGAAUCAUCCGGCGUUCUCGCCGGUGCACUUUGCCUGUCCAGGCCAGCAUCAGUUCGCUCCGGGGGAUAAAGGCGUGGGGAAUGUGGCUCCUCCGGGAGUGUUAUAGCCCCGCGUGUAAUACCCUGUGGCGGACUGAGGUUCGCGCUCCGCAAGGAUGCUGGCGUAAUGGUCAUCAGCGACCCGUCUUGAAACACGGACCAAGGAGUCGUCUUCGUAUGCGAGUGUUCGGGUGUCAAACCCCUACGCGUAAUGAAAGUGAACGCAGGUGAGAGCUUCGGCGCAUCAUCGACCGAUCCUGAUGUUCUCGGAUGGAUUUGAGUAAGAGCAUACGGGGCCGGACCCGAAAGAAGGUGAACUAUGCCUGUAUAGGGUGAAGCCAGAGGAAACUCUGGUGGAGGCUCGCAGCGGUUCUGACGUGCAAAUCGAUCGUCAAAUAUGGGCAUGGGGGGCGAAAGACUAAUCGAACCUUCUAGUAGCUGGUUCGGCGAG
rnacentral:rRNA from 2 species